rnacentral:rRNA from 1 species
GACGUAGGGGGCGAGCGUUGUCCGGAAUUAUUGGGCGUAAAGAGCUCGUAGGCGGCUUGUCACGUCGGAUGUGAAAGCCCGAGGCUUAACCUCGGGUCUGCAUUCGAUACGGGCUAGCUAGAGUGUGGUAGGGGAGAUCGGAAUUCCUGGUGUAGCGGUGAAAUGCGCAGAUAUCAGGAGGAACACCGGUGGCGAAGGCGGAUCUCUGGGCCAUUACUGACGCUGAGGAGCGAAAGCGUGGGGAGCGAACAGG